rnacentral:rRNA from 1 species
UACGUAGGGGGCAAGCGUUGUCCGGAAUCAUUGGGCGUAAAGAGCGCGUAGGCGGCCCUGUAAGUCCGCUGUGAAAGUCAAGGGCUCAACCCUUGGAUGCCGGUGGAUACUGCAGGGCUAGAGUCCGGAAGAGGCGAGUGGAAUUCCUGGUGUAGCGGUGAAAUGCGCAGAUAUCAGGAGGAACACCAAUUGCGAAGGCAGCUCGCUGGGACGUUACUGACGCUGAGACGCGAAAGCGUGGGGAGCAACAGG